rnacentral:lncRNA from 1 species
AGUGGAUGGAAAGCUGCAGCUAUUGGUGCCAAUAAUCAAGCAGCUCAGUCAAUGUUGAAACAAGAUUACAAGGACGAUAUCACGAGGGAAGAAGCCGUACAACUCGCGCUGAAGGUGCUGAGUAAAACCAUGGACAGCACCAGCCUUACUUCGGAGAAACUUGAACUGGCUGAGGUUUUCCUUACACCUUCGGGGAAUGUGAAGUACCAGGUUUGCUCACCUGAUUCUCUGAGUAAGUUGUU